ncrna:unclassified sequences ssnA RNA
ACAUAGAUGGCUGCAACGAAGUGCUUCGCGCACGGGCUGUAACGGUUU